rnacentral:rRNA from 1 species
CGAAGAAGCGAACCUGCGAAGGCAAGCGGAUCUCUUAAAGCCGUUCUCAGUUCGGACUGUAGGCUGCAACUCGCCUACACGAAGCUGGAAUCGCUAGUAAUCGCGGAUCAGCACGCCGCGGUGAAUACGUUCCCGGGCCUUGUACACACCGCCCGUCACACCAUGAGAGUCUGUAACACCCAAAGCCGGUGGGACAACCUUUAUAGGAGUCAGCCGUCUAAGGUAGGACAGAUGAUUAGGGUGAAGUCGUAACAAGGUAAC